CAGGUUGCCAAAGAGGCUUCUGACAUGGUACUAGCUGACGACAAUUUCAGUACCAUAGUUGCCGCAGUUGGUGAAGGAAGAUCUAUUUACAAUAACAUUAAAGCUUUCAUAAGAUACAUGAUUUCCUCAAACAUUGGUGAAGUUGCUUCAAUCUUCCUUACCUCUGCUUUGAGUAUUCCUGAGGGGUUGAUACCUGUUCAGUUUCUAUGGGUAAAUCUCGUCACCGAUGGCCCCUCUGCAACUGCUUUGGGUUUCAAUCCGCCUGACAAGGACAUCAUGAAGAAACCACCAAGGAGAAGCGACGACUCAUUGAUUACUCCCUGGAUUUUGUUCUGUUACCUGGUCAUUGGCCUUUACAUGGGGGUUACAACCGUUUGUAUCUUUGUCAUCUGGUACACCCACGGAUCUUUCAUGGGCAUUGAUCUCACUGAAGAUGGCCACACUUGUCAGUUAUCACAACCCUCGAACUGCGGCCAGUGCUCUAGCUGGGACAACUUCACAGCUGUGCCCUUCAUUGCUCGUGCUAGAACUUUCACCUUCUACGACAACCCCUGCGACCACUUCCAGGCCCGCAAAGUGAAGGCAACGACGCUCUCACUGUCCAUGCUCGUGGCGAUCGAGAUGUUUAACUCGCUCAACGCCCUCUCUGGGGACGCGAGCCUGCUGAGGAUGCCUCCGUGGGUCAACCCAUGGCUGCUCCUGUCCAUGUCGGUGAGUUUCGGACUGCACUUCCUCAUCCUCUACGUGCCGUUCCUCGCGCAGGUGUUUGGCAUGGUGCCACUCAGCCUUAAAGAGUGGCUCCUGGUGCUCCUUGUCGCGCUCCUGGUCAGUGCACGAGGAUCUGUUCACCGAUGUGGAUAG
rnacentral:rRNA from 1 species